AUUGAACGCUGGCGGCAGGCCUAACACAUGCAAGUCGAGCGGAUGAAGGGAGCUUGCUCCUGGAUUCAGCGGCGGACGGGUGAGUAAUGCCUAGGAAUCUGCCUGGUAUUGGGGGAUAACGUCCGGAAACGGGCGCUAAUACCGCAUACGUCCUGAGGGAGAAAGUGGGGGAUCUUCGGACCUCACGCUAUCAGAUGAGCCUAGGUCGGAUUAGCUAGUUGGUGGGGUAAAGGCCUACCAAGGCGACGAUCCGUAACUGGUCUGAGAGGAUGAUCAGUCACACUGGAACUGAGACACGGUCCAGACUCCUACGGGAGGCAGCAGUGGGGAAUAUUGGACAAUGGGCGAAAGCCUGAUCCAGCCAUGCCGCGUGAGUGAAGAAGGUCUUCGGAUUGUAAAGCACUUUAAGUUGGGAGGAAGGGCAGUAAGUUAAUACCUUGCUGUUUUGACGUUACCAACAGAAUAAGCACCGGCUAACUUCGUG
rnacentral:rRNA from 1 species